UGGGAUGUAGCUCAGUGGUAGAGCACUUGCACUACAUGUGCAAGGCCCUGGGUUCAAUACCCAAUACUGCAA
rnacentral:tRNA from 1 species